AAGGCUUCAGUACGACCCAGUCAGAACUAUAAGUCUCAAAGCCCCGACGAGUAGGGUGGCGUGCCGGUGAGCGUUGAAGGCCAAGACGUGAGUCAGGCUGGAGCCGCCGGUAGUGCAGAUCUUGGUGGUAGUAGCAAGUACUCUGGUGAACCAACCUGGAGCUGUGAGGUCUGGAUUAGGGUUCCAUGUCAACAGUGAUUGAACAUGGGUGAGUCGAUCCUAAGCCAACUGUGAAAGCAGUGACAUCCCGACAAAGGUGCAUUUUUAGGGGGUGUUCCCGGCGCUCGCCAAGCUUAACGUCGCCUCCUCUCGAUACACGAAACGUGAUGUCCCGCCGCGCGCGCACACGGCAAAACAUACGUUGCGCGCGCGUGUGUGUGCGUGUCAUGUUUGACUCAAAGACUCUGGUUACGCUCGAGGGCGUUGAUGGAUGGAUGGAUGGAUGGAAGCAAUGAAAGAGAGGCGGCUAGGGCGACGUGCUUGUUUGGAGGGUCUGAGAGGAGCACACUAUGCUCUCUGCGUUGGUUCUAUGUCCGGCGAAAGGGAAUGGGGACUUUGUUCCUUGACCGGUCCCGGCACCCCUCCAUAGGCUUUGCCAUUCAAUGGUCCAUGCAUAUGGAACCAAGCCACAGCCGCCGGCAGUCGCCCGAGGAAGAGUUAUCUUUUCUGCUUAACGCACGAGAUCAUCCCUGGAAACAGUUCGGCUGGCGAAAGGGUGCCCCGGUGCGGCAGAGCGCCCACACUGUCGUGCGCGUCUCGGUGUACCUGCCGGUCCGUGAAAACGUGGUCGAGGGGAUUGGCACUUGUAUGAACGAAACGCCCGACAAGUUCGGGACGGACCGUACCCUAUAUCCGCAUCUGGUCUCCAAGGUUCGUAGCCUCUGCAGAGUCAGACACAUGUAGGUAAGGGAAGUCGGCAAACUCGAUCCGUAACUUCGGGAAAAGGAUUGGCUCUGAGGGCCGAGCUGGGCCGGGCCUUGCCUGCAAAGCAGUACCUAUAGUGACCGGAGUUUUAGGAGUGCGAGGGGCUCUAGUAGCUGUCUGCGUUCACGCGUGGGCACGAACGAGUCUACCGCUCCGCUCCAACCACGAACGGCUGUGACGGCAAGGGCUCUGGGCGGGAGCGUUCAAACCGUUUUCUUCUCGGCUCGUCUGGGAGGUGGCGGUGCUUCGUCUGACCCAUACGGCUCCAGCGGCUAGCGGCUAACUCAGAACWGUCAUGGACCAAGGGAAUCCGACUGUCUAAUUAAAACAAAGCGUCGUGACGGCCCCUGUUGGGUGUUGACGCGACGUGAUUUC
rnacentral:rRNA from 1 species